rnacentral:rRNA from 1 species
UAGGGAAUAUUAGAAAUGGACGAAAGUCUGAUCUAGCAACACCGCGUGUGCGAUGAAGGCCUUCGGGUUGUAAAGCACUUUUUGGAAGGAUUAGGAAGGAAUGUACUUCCAGAAUAAGUCUCGGCUAACUGCGUGCCAGCAGCCGCGGUAACACGUAGGAGGCGAACGUUAUCCGGAUUUACUGGGCGUAAAGCGCGUGUAGGUGGUUCUGUAAGUAGGGAGUGAAAGCUACUGGCAUAACAAGAAGAGGCCGUUCUAAA